AUUGAACGCUGGCGGCAUGCUUUACACAUGCAAGUCGAACGGUAACAGGGAGCUUGCUCCGCUGACGAGUGGCGAACGGGUGAGUAAUGCAUCGGAACGUGCCUAUUUGUGGGGGGAUAACGUAGCGAAAGUUACGCUAAUACCGCAUACGCCCUGAGGGGGAAAGCGGGGGAUUCGUAAGAACCUCGCGCAAUUAGAGCGGCCGAUGUCGGAUUAGCUAGUUGGUGGGGUAAAGGCUCACCAAGGCGACGAUCCGUAGCGGGUCUGAGAGGAUGAUCCGCCACACUGGGACUGAGACACGGCCCAGACUCCUACGGGAGGCAGCAGUGGGGAAUUUUGGACAAUGGGCGAAAGCCUGAUCCAGCCAUGCCGCGUGAGUGAAGAAGGCC
rnacentral:rRNA from 1 species